CAUUGGGAAGUGUGGCCAUUAUUGAAGUGUGACAACACCCUGUCAGUGUGUUGUGAGGACAUAUCUCUAUGCCUGACCAUGCUGUACGGUGUUUUACUAUUUGUAUCAACAUUAACUGUAUUUUUUAGCUUCUUCCUUGUAUACAAAGUAACAGUUCUACAAGAUGAUAUUAACAAACUCAGAGGAGAUAUUUCAAACCUAAUGCCACAUUCUAAAGAAUCCACUGACAGGAUGAUCACUGGUAUGUCCAGAACAUGGGAGAGAUCAAAGCAAGCAGCUUCCCUAAAUUCACAGCAACAGAGACAGACAGAGAAAGACUCUCAGACUCUGUGUUCACCAACAGCAUCCUCUCUGAGAAUGAAAUGGGAGCAGGCAGGCUGUAGUGGAGGUACAGUAGUUCAGCAGUCGUUUCUGCAGCUGUCAGCCAACACAAAGGAACAGCCAUUUGUUAGAGGUAA